CAAAAUCAGAGCUUGGCAUGGCUCUCUGCUGGCACCGUGCAGGGUGUGAUUACAUCAGAUCUGUGCAACUCAGAUCUUGGGGAGGGGUUGGGGGGUGGAAGGUGGAGGGAGGAAGGGAGAGAAAACAGAGGGCGGGAAGAAGGGAAGGAAGUGAAGAAGGGAAUGAGGGACGGAAAGAGAGAGACAGCGAAGAGAGGAGAAAGGUGAGUGCAUUCUGGAAAUCACCGGCAGCUCCGCUCCGCAGAAAGGCCUUGGCCUGUGCCAUCUGAGGGUGAAGUUACGUGGUUAUCAAAUUCCCCUUCCCUGGAGCCCCUGGCAAGAAGUUGAUGCCAGAAACAGACGGAGGGGGUGCGAGGAGGGAGGGAAUCAGACCUUUUGUUUCUCUUUUUCCCCCUAGGACCUGGUCUCAUGCUUCUCCCCCUCAUCUCUCCCAGGGCACCCCUCCGACCCCCGCUGCGAGGGGUUUCCCGCGGGAGGUGGACGAAGCGUGGGCCAGGACAGGCGCCUGGCACUGGGGUUUCAGAGCCGCGAGUAGGCCCUGAAGGCCGGGAGGGACCGCCAGUCCCCACUGGAAGCCGCUUCCGUGCAGCCCGGGACAGCAUCUCUGAGGUUGGGGUGCAUCUUAACAUCAUUGUCCACAAACUGUCCUGUGCUGUCAUUUUCCCUGUGUCUGAACAAACUUGGUAGUUACACCCGUGACUUGAUUGGGUGACCUCAACCUUUGAUGUUUCAGUCAAUGAACCAUUCAGGCAUCAUUGAGAUCAUUUUCAUCUUGCUUAUUUUCCUGAACAUCUUUCUGUGAAAAUCAAACAAGUCCAAGGAUCAAACUCCCAGGUGUCAACAGCUUGGAAGGGUUCCACACACUUUUAAGAAAUUUUCUGGCCAGGCACGGUGGCUCAUGCCAGGAAUCUCAACACUUUGGGAGGCUGAGGUGGGCAGAUAGCUUGACGCCAGAAAUUCAAGACCAGCCUGGGCAACAUGGCAAAAGCCUGUCUCUGUGGAAAAUACAAAAAUUAGCCAGGCGUGGUGGUGUGCGCCUGUAAUCCCAGCUACUCAGGAGGCUGAGGCAGGAGAAUCGCUGGAACCUGGGAGGCAGAGCCUGCAGUGAGCUGAGAUCGCGCCACCGUACUCCAGACCGAGCGACAGAGCAAGACUCGGUCUCAAGAAAAGAAAAAAAAAAAAUGCAACUGAAGGAAACCUAGUGUGCAGAAAUGUUUUGAAGAAAACUUCAAAAAAAAAUUCUAUUAGUCUUAAAGAUAUGAGAAGAUAUUACAUCCAUUAAAGAAGAAUAAUUUACCAUAAAAAAUUCAAACAAUGAAAAGGGCUCUUAAAAAUUUAAAACAUGGCUGGGCACAGUGGCUCACACCUGUAAUCCCAGCACUUCGGGAGGCCGAGGCAGGCAGAUGACCUCAGGUCAGGAAUUUGAGACCAGGCUGGCCAACAGGGUGAGACCCCAUCUCUACUAAAAAUACAAAAAAUUAGCUGGGCAUGGUGGUGUGAGCCUGUAAUCUCAGCUACUUGGGAGGCUGAGGCAGGAGAAUUGCUUGAACCCAGUAGGCGGAGGUUGCAGUGAGCCGAGAAAAGAAAAAGAAAAAAGAAAUUUGUGAGAGCUGAGCAUAAGCCACACUAAAUGCACACACAGGAAAUAUUAAUACGUAUUAGUUAUGUUUUGAGGGCAUAUGUUCACAAAUACAAAACCUCUGGGGAGGCUGAGGCGGGUGGAUCAUGAGGUCUGGAGUUCAAGACUAGCCUGGCCAACACAGUGAAACCCCCUCUCUACUAAAAAUACAAAAAUUAGCUGGGCGUGGUGGCAGGUACCUGUAGUCCCAGCUACUCGGGAGGCUGAGGUGGGAGAAUUGCUUGAACUCGGGAGGCAGAGGUUACAGUGAGCCAAGAUUGUGCCACCACGCUCCAGCCUGGGUGACAGAGCAAGACUCUGCCUUUUCUUUCUCAAAAAUCCCUGGAGUCUGCCUUUGCUUCAGAAAUUAGUUUAUCCAGCUAUACUUGAUGGAAAACCCAGUGUUUCAGUAGCAGAAAGAGCUUUGUGGUGUAAGCCAUUCUAGAAUAAGUAGACAGGCUAGGGGUCUCUUCCGUGGGAUGCCAGUUAGCUGUGUCCCAAAGACAGACCUCAAAGACUCCAUCCCAGGGACACAAUGCCUCUCCCGAAGCUAGGACUCUGGAAUCAGGACACAGGUUGCUCUCUCUGGACAUAUUUCUCUAAGUAAACAAGUUGCUCUUCCUUAGAGUAGCUGUUGUGUUGCUGUAUUCCCAUCACAUUCCCAGGGGUGUGAAAUAGUAGACUCUCCAGUCUACUAGAGAUGGGGCCAUUUUCUCAGCAACACUUGCUUGUUAUAUCCUGUUAAAAAAUCUUAACGUAGAAAAAUGGGCAAAACAUAAAUGUAUAACUCCAUGAACAACUGCAAAGUGAAAACAUAUAUAGUCAAUAUACAUAUUUUAAAAAAUAAAACAUUGUGGGCGGGCACGGUGGCUCACAUCUGUAAUCCCAGCACUUUGGGAGGCCGAGGCAGGCGGAUCACCUAAGGUCGGAAGUUCGAGACCAGCCUGCCCAACAUGGAGAAACCCUAACUCUACUAAAAAUACAAAAUUAGCCGGCAUGGUGGCACAUGCCUGUAAUCCCAGCUACUCGGGAGGCUGAGGCAGGAGAAUCGCUUGAACCCGGGAGGCAGAGGUUGCGGUGAGCGAAGAUCACACCAUUGCACUCCAGCCUGGGAAACAAGAGCGAAACUCCAUCUCAAAAAAAAACAUUGCCAACACACCAAAAGCCCCAAACAGUAUCUGCUAUCAUUGCUAUCAUUACUUAAACACUGUGGUAUAAUUUUUCCAAUUAUUGAAUUUUGAUUUUUUAGUAUAUUCACAAGAUUUUGCAGCCGUCACUAUAAUUUAGAGUAUUUUUGUCCUCUGUCAAAGAACCCCCCCAUACCCAUUCGCUGCCACUUCAUACUCCCCACAUUCUGUCCCCACCCUAAAGACCUACUUUUUGUCUCCAUAGAUUUACCUUUUCUGGACACUUUAUAUAAAUGCAAUGAGUCUUUUGUGACUAGCUUCUUUAACAGCAUAAUGCUUCAAGGUUCAUCCAUGUUAUCGAAAGUAUGGAUAUGUCAUAUCUUUUUAUUGCCAAAUAACAGUCCAUUGUGUGGCUGUACCAAUAUUUUAUGUAUUCAUUCCUCAGCUGAGAGACAUUUGGCUGGUUUUCACUUUCUCGCUAUUAACAAUAAUGCAGCUCUGAACAUUUGUGUACAAUAAAAAUAAAUAGCAUCCUACAAUUAAUAUGGAAACAGCAGAAAUUUAUUUCUCAUAAUUCUGGAGGCUGAGAAGUUCCAUAUCAAGGAUCUGAUAGAUUCAAUGUCUGGUGAGGAAAUGCUUCAUAAAUGGUUCAUAAAUGGUGCUUUCUUGCUGUGUCUUCAUGGUGGAAGGGGUAAGGUCUUCCUGGGGCCUCAUUUGUUUACGUAUGUAUUCAUUUAUAUUUUUGGAGACCCAGCCUGCAUCUGGUUUCCCCUUCUUCCUUGAAUGUAAACCCUAGAAAGCUGGGCUUUCUUUUGAGAGCUUGGGAGAUUUUUGUCUCAACUCAAAGAGACUAGAGGAUGACCCAUCUAUUUUUUCAUUAGUUUUAAACUCAGCUUUUUUACUUCCUGUAGAGUUUCAGAAUUUGGCAAAAGUCUCAAGGCUCAAGCUGGUUGUCUGAAGCCUUUCAAACCCCCAGUUUUAUCACCACAUAUGAGAGGUCCCAGCACCAACCGCACCAGCCACAGGACUCCUCUUCUCGGUGGUACAACCAGCAGCUUCCAGGCCCAGCCACAUAUCCAGAGCUUGGGGAUCAGGUAUAGAGAGCCAAUCCCCUGGGAACCCAUGCAUUAGUCCCAGGGGGCCUCUCCUCCAAGCGCCUACAUUCUGGAAAAGCCUCAAGUUUCUACAGUCAUGAUACCUGGGAAACUCAGUGCUCCCUUUUGGAUUUUUCUUAGCCCUUCAACACCUAUGUAAAUCUGCAUGAAAUUUCCACUGUUUGAAUAGAGUGUCAUUCCCUGCUGAGCCCUAACUGAUACGCUGUGUUUCCAGUGUCCCUCAUCCACUAGACUCAGUGGUGUCAGGAAUGGUGUGGUAUUUUGUUAUAAAUUUAACUCCUUAGAUGGACACACAGAGAGCCUCGAUAAAUAUUUUUAAUCCAUCAAUGCAAGGAGUGUGGUUGUCAGAAGUCAGCUAAAAGUCCAAGUUUAAAUCUAAGCUCCGCCGUUCACAGCUUGGGUGACCUCAGCUUCUUUUUUGGAAAUGAAGUUCAUAUUUUCCGAGCACUUUUUCUGUGCCAGGUGCUUCCAAAUGUAUCUCGUUUAAUCCUCACAACAUACCUCAGAGGAAGACAUCAUUUUUACAAGUAAGGAAAUAGAGGCUCAGAGAGAUGAAGUGGUUGACCCGGGCUGUCUAUCUUGUAAAUGGUGGGCUGUGAUUCCCACACGACUGGAGUUUCUGGAGUCAGAGGCUGCCUGGAGUCAGGGGCUGCCUGACUCCAGAAACCAUUUUCUGUGCAUUUCAUGUAGCUCCACCUCAAUUGCCUUCCUUUCCUCAUCUGCAGACUGAUUAAAUAAAAUGUAUAAUUUGGAUGAAAUUUGAUAAAUAAUUCUGAAUGCAUUCUUUUUUAGAAUAAAUUAUCUGCAGUUCAGUACUUUAUUCUUACUAAUAAAUUCCAAGCAACACUCCUACUCACGGGCCUGGCCCUUCCCAUGCAUUUUCUUUUCUUGCUUUUUUUUUUUUUUUUUGAGAUGGAGUCUCGCUCUGUCACCCAUACUGAAGUGCAGUGGGGCCAUCUCGGCUCACUGCAAGCUCUGCCUCCCAGGUUCAAACAAUUCUCCUGCCUCAGCCUCCCGUGUAGCUGGGAUUACAGGGAUGUACUACCAUGUCCGGCUAAUUUUUGUAUUUUUAUUAGAGACAGGGUUUCACCAUGUUGGCCAGGCUGGUCUCGAACUCCUGACCUCAAGUGAUCUGUGCACCUCAGCCUCCCAAAGUGCUGGGAUUACAGGCAUGAGCCACCGCGCCCAGCCCCCAUACGUUUUCUCGCUGGCCAUGCUGUGCACCGUCUACUAAGUUGCCAUGGCUGCCUGGCCAUCUGACUUGUCACCCUCUCAUCCCUGACCUGACCCCAGUGUGUCUGCUUUUGCAGGGCCAAGGGGUCAGAUUCUUCUGCAGAGGACAGCCCUGUGAGGUCCAGGUUACGGACUCCUGCUCAAGCACAUGUAGGAUGCCAGCCUGAUGGUGUCUGGGUCCUUCAGUAGUAUUCAUGGCAGCCUGCUGAACUCUGCCUUCCAAGAUCCAGUUUAUAUUUUAGGGCCCCAAUGUAAAUGUUGCAAAGUCUUUCCCAUUUCCCCUGCCUCAGAACAGCAGCAUGGAAAGCCUAGAAUGGAAAAAGAGAAUGAGCCCAAACCCAGCAGCUCAGGCCAGGAGGCAUGCCUGUUCCACAUCACUCCACGUGGCUUUGUGUUUGUUGCCUCCACAUCUGUUCCAACCCAGCUAGGCUGGUGCAGAAGGAGCCCAGGGGGUCCUGCUUAUCACUGAAUUCCUUUACUGAUGCAUUGUUUUAAAGAGAAAAAAUCCCCAUGAAAGGUCCACCACAGGAACUGGGGACCUCUCAAUGAUCCCAAUAGGUAAGGAAGACUCAUUUGCAGUGAGCUCCAGGGGACCUUUCUACAACUCACAGUGACCAGUGGGAAUAGGACACACAAGGUGAUGCCAAGCCUGGCACAACAGCUGAGUACCUUGACUCGUCCCAAAUCCCAGAGUAAAUGUAGGGCACCUGAGGCAGCUGCCAAGGGACAGAUGUCCUUCAGAGCAGUUCUGGACAAGGCCCUCAUUUAUUUCUCUCUGUCACCUGCCCCUCUCUCUCUUUAAAAACCUAGGCAUUUUGUCUUCUUUUCCUCAUUUUUGUCCUACACAGGAACAUGAGAGCCACCUGGUGGAAGGUUUUAUUAGCAUGGAGGACGAGGGAGAGUUUGGCAGCUUGGCAGAGCUGCAGGUUGUGGAGAAGCAGCUGAGACAACAGCCCUGAGAGAGGAGAUCUGUGCUUCCCUGGAGCACAGGGCAGGUUGACACAUCAGCUGCGGAACAGUAUCUGGACCAGAAGCCUUUGCUCACUGUGAGAGACAGGCCGGGUCACUUACUUGCUCACCGCACAUGGGGGCUGAGUGGUGGCUGUUACAGAUCCAUGGAGGCCAGUGGUUGAGGCUCUGAAGGGGACAUGGCUGUCGCUGUGGGAG
rnacentral:lncRNA from 10 species